GUGACUGGAGAGUCUCGUCCCCCAUCACGCGUGGGAGCACAGCAGUCACCUGGCAGUGCCCCACAGCGCUGGCAGCAGCAGGGCUGGGCUCAGGCAGCGAGGGGCUGCAGCCGCAGCUCGCUGCGAGGGGAGCAGCGGGGAGGAACUCUGUGCCAGUGAAGUGCCUCGCUGCCAGGCAGGACUCUGAGGUGGCAUUUAGUGCCCUGCACAGCACAGCAUUUACAGCUGCUCAGCUGUUGAGCAAAACCCUCCUCUGUCACUCCUUAAGACCCUCGUGCCUUUGCUGAGCUGAAGUCCUCCAGUUCUCCAUCUUCAGUGAAAGGGAAGGAACAGAGGAGAAAGAACGAUGCAUUAAAUAAUAAAACAAUAAAAUACCAAAAAA